GACAGCCAGGAUGUUGGCUUAGAAGCAGCCAUCAUUUAAAGAAAGCGUAAUAGCUCACUGGUCGAGUCGGCCUGCGCGGAAGAUGUAACGGGGCUAAACCAUGCACCGAAGCUGCGGCAGCGACGCUGAUGCGUUGUUGGGUAGGGGAGCGUUCUGUAAGCCUGUGAAGGUGUGCUGUGAGGCAUGCUGGAGGUAUCAGAAGUGCGAAUGCUGACAUAAGUAACGAUAAAGCGGGUGAAAAGCCCGCUCGCCGGAAGACCAAGGGUUCCUGUCCAACGUUAAUCGGGGCAGGGUGAGUCGACCCCUAAGGCGAGGC
rnacentral:rRNA from 1 species